CGUCCUCCUCCCUCGUCAGGAAUGUCGCCGCGAUCAAAAGAACGUAUCAGUCACUGAUUGUUGAUCGCCGACAAGCAAUAAAGUUAGGAACACAUGCAAAUGCUACAUGUUGCUACUAAGCGCGCCGGGCGGCGAGUUGAAACGCGCGGGGACCGGCCGCGCGCGCGCGCACGCUCGGCUCGGCUCGGCUCGCGAGGAGCCGCGUUGGCGCGAACGCGUCCUCGCGCGCGAGCCGCCCUCAGGCGGGCUGCGCCCAAUCAAUUGGAGCGCCCAUUAUUCAACAUGUGCGGCUAAUUUGUCCCUGGUAAUUCCCAUCAUGGUUGGGUGAUGGUCUACCGAGAGAGAUAGAACAAAGCCGAGGCGGUCACGUGACGCGGCCCGGGGAAAACCCACGCGGCCGCAAACACACGGGGCCGAUGUCAACACUUUGACCGAAGCCCGCCUCCCGUCUCGCGCCCAUCAACACACACCAGCACAAUAAAUAUUAGCAGGGAUGACGGCGGCGCUACAGGAAGCAGCGGAUACGGCAACAUGUGUGCACACACGGGCUCUGUGGGCAGCGGCGACUGCACGGGUGUUAGAGGGGCGCCACUGUGGUCGGACCGGGCCGUCUGGGAGCAUAAAGUGGCCCUGUCAUGGUUCCCCGCUCGCCUGGGUGGUCCUGGAGGCCCGGACAGGGACGGGCGGACCCAUCCUGCAAAGCCCAGGACAGGCCCGGUAUGUCCAAACAAGACCCCGAUGAAACCCCAGGCGCUUUUACAGCCCGCCGGCCCUCGGCCCCGACUCGACGAUGAAGCGUCAGACGGGGACGAGCGGAGGAUUCUUUGGGCUGCGUCGAGGCCAGAAGCAAGAAGUAAAGUGAGAUUUCAACACGCAGAUGCACCUCAAGUACAGAUAGAGGCGUCACUCUGUCCGCCAUCUUGUUAUGGGUGCCCAUAAUGUGGUCUGGGCUUUGCUUUAAUGCUUUUAAUGCUGAAAAUGACCAGUUCCCUCGCCUUAUAAUGAAAAGCUGCCCAGUCAGUCACUUUCUAGAUAAAUGUCUGGUCCGUUGUGCAACACCUUGACAGGACGCCAUGAUGUUUACAUCUUCCUCCUCCGCUGCUUCCAGGCGCGCGGGCAGAGUUAAGGGAGCGCCAUUCAUUAUUGAUCAGGCUAUUUCCAAAUGUCCUCACUGAGUAAUAAACAGUCAUUCAAAGGCAGUCGGUGCAUUAGCGUUUGCAGGCCGACAGCAGAGGCCUAUCAGUCACCAUCACUCCCAAUGUGACCAGACUGAUUAUAGGUUCUUAUUAAGCUGUAUUGAUUGGUGCCAGCAGGACCUAAGUGUACUGAGAGACUGCAGAGCUGCACCAGAACACUGCUCUCUGUACUAUACACUAUCCACUCAGUAAACACUGCUUACAAUCAUGCUACAGGUUUCUCAA